AAUAAACGGAAGGAACACUGGGGACCAGGCCACCUUGGGGAGCUGCAGCAAUGGCUGGAGAGUGACCUUCCAGAGGCAUCAUGGAUAUCCGUGGUGAUGGGGGCAGCAUAUGGUCUUCACAGGUACACCCAUUGCAAUGCAACUUUGCAGAAAUCCCUUUCAAGAGAUCAAGUCUAUUUCCCACCCCUUGAAUCUGGACAGACUUUUGACUUACUUUGGCUAAUACGAUGCAGCAAAAGCAAUCCUGUGCCAGUUGAUCAAGAGGCCCAGCAGCUCCCACUGCCUUGGACCCCUGUCCUGCUGUCAUAUAAACAAAUAUGGGCUAGCCUGCUACAGGCUGAGAGACCAUGUGAAGCAGAACCAAGUUGUUCCAGUUGAAGCCAUCCAGAUCAUCCUAUAGCCAGCUGACCCCAAAACAUGUGACAGACCCCAGCCCAGAUCAGCAGAUCUGCCUAUCCAAUCUGCAGCUGACCUGAGACACAUGAGUGAGCCCAGCUAAGACUACAAGAACCAUCCAGCUGAUCUGAAAAUUCAUUAAUCAAAUCAAUGCUUAUUGUUGUUAGCUGUAUUGCUUUUCUAUUGCUUUGUAACAAAUUACCACAAAUUUAGUGGCUUAAAACAACACCCAUUUAUUAGCUCACAGUUCUGUAAGUUAGAAAUCUGGAUGGGUUCAGUGGGGUUAGAGUCUCCUUAGAGUCUCACAACCAGUAUUUAGCUUCACUGCUGAGCCAUGUAGUGUACUAUAUUAAUAUUUCCUUUCUUAUGCAACUUGGAGUUGAUAGCUGCUGGCUUUUUUUAUUCACUUAUUUUUAUUGAUACAUAAUAUUUGCAAUUUAUGGGGUACAUGUGAUAUUUUGAUUCCGGCACACAAGGUGUAAUAAUCAAGUCAGGGUGUUUAGAAUAUCCAUCACCUUGAACAUGUAUUAUUUCCUUGUGUUGGGAGCAUUUCAAAUCUAGCUAUUUUGACAUAUAUGGCUGUUAACUAUAGUCAUUCCACUGUGCUAUUGAAUACUAGAACAUAUUCCUUCUCUCUAACUGCAGGUUUGUACCCAUUAAUAAACCUUUCUUCAUCCUUCCACCCCCACUUUCCCAGCCUCUGGCAACUAAUAUAUACAUAAUAUCUAUCUAUUCCCUUGCUGGGUAGGGGAGGGACAGUUGCUGUGUGGGUUAGAAAAAUAGGCCAGGGAGCGGGUGGGAGAUCUCACAGCUCUUUCUACAAACUCUCGUCUAAAUCCAACAUCUAAAUCCAACACAUAAACACCCUAUUAUUUCUCUCAUAAAAGCAAAACAAAACCAAAUCCAAAAAGCCUCACUCCUACUCCACCUCCCGCCUUCUGAUCUCAUGUCUCCCUUCCAUUUGUAGCAAAACUUUUUGGAAGACCUUUCUUCUGUCCAAUAUGGCAGCCCCUAGCUACAUGUGGCUCUCGAGCACUUGCAGUGUAGCCAGCAAAAUCGAGGUGCAUUGUAAGGGUAAAAUAUACACCACAUUUCAAAGACAUCAUAUGAAAAACAAUGCAAACUAUCUCAUUAAUAAUUUUAUAUCAAUUACAUAUGGAA
rnacentral:lncRNA from 1 species